GCAAAUGCUAUUGCGUAGAUUGGAUUAAAUUUCAGAGGCAUCUCAUUCUAAUUGUCUAGGAUACAGGUGAGAGAUAAUGAGCUAAAUAAUCAAAAUAAAAAUAUGUUUCCGUACUUUCGUUAAAUACAAAUAUGUUUUUCAGGUACCAAGGUUUCAGAGAUGCUCCUUCAUCAGCAUAUGCAACCAAGAACAUUAUCCUGCCUCUUCUAUUCCAAGUUUAACAGAAGCCUAUUCUUGAAAACCUCUCCCACCAGAUAAUU
rnacentral:lncRNA from 1 species